AAGUCGUAACAAGGUUUCCGUAGGUGAACCUGCGGAAGGAUCAUUAACACGUGAUUUCUCACGUAUAAUCCACAAGCAAUGUUAUCUUCCUCUUGUCGAGGAGGGUCACUGAUGGACGAUCUUUGGCGCCGAGACUACUCGGCUUGCCCAUCAGUUAGUUGCCCAGAAAUGAGGUGACGCCCAGAGCGACAGGAGCGUAACGAUUCCGUAUUUCCACCGCCUGCCUUCGAGGUAUGGGUACGGGACAUGAUCUUUAUUUUCUUUUUAUUUUCUACUAAUUCUUUGUCUAAUCACUUCGAAUUCCUGGUCUAAUCAACCGGUUGCAGUUUGACCUGAUUGACACUCAUUAAUUACGAAACAACUCUUAGCAACGGAUAUCUUGGUUCUC
rnacentral:misc_RNA from 1 species